AAUGAAAUUUAUGGAAGUUCUCCCAAUUUCCUCUUCUCAAAAUUCAAACCUCCACUCCAACAACAAUGGUCACUCAUGCAAUUUUAGGGAUUUAGUCUUGUUUUCUUUGCUAAUUUCAAUUUCUCUCCCAAUCAGAAAUUUCUCAAUCUCUCUCUUUCUCUCAAAUUUGCGGAAAAGGGGUUCCACAGCCUUUUGAGAAGAGAUCUUCAAUGUCUAUGCAAGAGGAACAAAAACCCAGCCUAUACGACCAACGUUGCUAUGGCAGAUGUUCUCAAAUCUCUUGAAAGUGUAAGUUUUCUUCAUCUGAUUCGCUCAAUUUCAUUUUGAAUCCGAACAAUUUUGUGUAUCGCUCACACUCACAUCAUUAACAAAGAUUAAAAGUU